AAGUCGUAACAAGGUUUCCGUAGGUGAACCUGCGGAAGGAUCAUUACUGCUUGCUCAUGGCCGCUGGGGAGGGGAGACCCCCUUGGCGGUACGGCAACACACCCUUGACUAUUCAUACCUACCGUACCUCCCUCGGCGGGGCAACCUGCCGUUGAGUAGAACAUAAACCCUCUUGUAUCAAGCAUCUAACUUCUGAAACAAACCUAAAUUAUCACAACUUUCAACAAUGGAUCUCUUGGUUCUG
rnacentral:misc_RNA from 1 species